AUAACGACUCUCGGCAACGGAUAUCUCGGCUCUCGCAUCGAUGAAGAACGUAGCGAAAUGCGAUACUUGGUGUGAAUUGCAGAAUCCCGUGAACCAUCGAGUCUUUGAACGCAAGUUGCGCCCAAAGCCUUUCGGCCGAGGGCACGUCUGCCUGGGCGUCACGC
rnacentral:rRNA from 1 species